rnacentral:rRNA from 1 species
AGACGUCUACAUUAGAUACCCCUGUAGUCCAGGGUGUAAACGCUGCAGACUUGGUGUUGGAGGCCCUUUGGGGGCAUUCAGUGCCGGAGAGAAGUUGUUAAGUCUGCUACUUGGGGAGUACGUCCGCAAGGAUGAAACUUAAAGGAAUUGGCGGGGGAGCACCGCAACGGGAGGAGCGUGCGGUUUAAUUGGAUUCAACACCGUAAACUCACCAGGGAAGACUGUUACAUGAAGGCCGAGAUGAAGACUCUGCUAGAUUUUCAG